GUAUACUGUCGACGUAACGUUUAGUCAUAAAAUUAAAUACUAGUAGUUUAAUCUUUAAUUUUAAUAAAGGUACAUGUUUUAUUUUGUAAAGCAUCAAAAAUAUAAGCAUAUAUAUGAUGUGAUCAUGUUUUUACUUAAUGUAUGUUAAGAGCAGGUUUAUAGAACGAAAGAGGGGCGCAGUGGUUGACCCAUGAAAGAACCGAUACAGAUUUCGACGUACGCCCUCGAACCACAACAUUUGGUGUUUUUAAUGUAAACUAGAGAGCUUACAAAUGAAGCAAAAAGAUGAUAAAUACUCGAGGAUCACAACAAAGAGGAGAGAGAUAUCAGGUUUCUGAACUAAAUCAGAUUCCAUAGAUCACAAUUACAGAAGAACAAUAUUCUAAAAAGAUGAAGCACAGGUGGGAGAAAUCAAACAACAAUUGGACACAGGUGGUGAUGUCGACUACCCGACAAGAAAGCAAGAAUUGACAUUUUGACCGUACUAGAGUAUCAUUGGAAUUUUCCUUUCACAGCUGUGGUUUUGGCAAUUAAUAAUGAUGCUACAAAGAGGUGCAUUGAAGAAACGUCACUGAACUUUUGGGGGAAAGUGUUGUCUGCAAUCAGUCUGUGCAAGAAAUCUUUUGAAAACACCGACGAUUCUGUUUUUAUUUCAUGUUUUAUUUGGUGAUAUCUUGGCAUGAUGUC